GGAAAGUUCUUGCAGAAGGCCAGCGGAUCUUAACUAAGAUCUGUCAGGAAUGCCGAGGUGGAGUUUUAGUGAAAAUUACGGAAACGUGUCCUACUUUGAACUGCUCAAAGAAUGACCACAUUCUUCCAGAGAAUCAGUGCUGCAG
rnacentral:lncRNA from 1 species